AGCCAAGCAUGCCUGUUUGGUAGAUGCAUGAAAAUGAAUUUAUCUCAUUUUAAUGAAGAAUAAUUUUGUAUUAAUCUCUAAUUGAUAAUAAGUUUAUGUUAAUUGUAAUUAUGUUGCAGAGAUACCUGUUUUUAUUAGGAAUUACUGACAUCGUCUCCACGUGUAUAACCGGUUUGCUCUCCAUGCUGCCACCCUGAGAGUGUCAUUAGAGCAAGAAAGUGAAGAUGCCAUUCUGAAAAUGAGAUGGAGAAAAAAGCAGGAAAAGGAAAGGAACGAAAGAGAAUGGGAUGAAGGGACGGUGGUGGUGGGUUCUCUCGGGAUGAUGGGCUGGGCCGGGCUUUAGUUCCUGAAUCGACUGCUAUAUAAGGAGUACGACGAGAAAAGGGCUCUCGUUUAGAUCCUCUUCAGCCUCAUUUUUCCUUUUCCCUGCUACCUCUUCCAAAUCAUACCCCUUCUUUCCAAAGGGAUGAAAUUGUGAAGAAAUAGAGGAAUCAACAGCUUUACACAGCAUAGUCAGGCUUCGAGGUUUCAACUUUCAAGUUUGGACAAGUGGAGCCCAUGGUCCAGUUAGCGCAGAUCAUUAAUCCAUUCUCCUCACCAUGGAGGCAUGGAUGGACUAUGAGCCAAAAAUAUCUUUGAUUGGACAAUCCUAACCUUUUUAAUUUGUGGCCUACAGAAGAGAGAGAAAAUAAUGGUGGUUCACUUUUAACUGAAAAAAGUUUAUAUUGAUAAAUAAGAGUGCCAGUAAUUGCUGCUCAGGGUAUUCCAAACUGGGAGUUUUUUGGGGUCUGAUCCAUCUAUGGUGGGACACAACAGACCAAUCGUCUGCACCCCGACUACUAAUUUUGAUAAUCCUGCAUUGAACUAAAAACUGAAAACUCCAACCCGAUUUUAAUGGGUCCCAGUCUAAUUUUUCAGACCUGUUUACAUAUUUUAGUCGAACAUUAUGUGAAUCACAUUUACCACAAAUGAUCCAUGUGAAGUAAUUAUAUGCAUGUUGUCCUAACUUGAGCAGUGGGGGAUUAAACCUGACUAUCAUCUGAUACACUUUAUUUUUAUCUCCAAAGUAGGCGAGUUGGGCUCGAACCGAAGACAUCGAUGCCAAAACAUGCUCCAUCUGCCAUUGGGCAGCAGGCUUCAACCCUUCUAUCAUUCUUCUAAGCUUUGAAUGAAGGAAAUAGGUGAAAAGGUGGGAAAUUUUUAAGAAAAAAUAACAAAACAGGGUUUUUUUUUAUGCCUUACUAGCCAAUACGACUAUUCAAUAUUUAGUAUGCCAAUUUGACUCCCUAUCCCAUAUUCGCCAUGGUGGAUAUGGAUAUGAUACAGCUGUAUAACCAUGGCCCAUUUGAGUUCCACCAAUUGGAUAGCUAGAGUUGCACAGUUAGUGUCGGUUAGUGUGAUUUUUGAGUUAUGCUGAAUCACAAUAGAAGCAUUAGAUAGGAUGGAUUGCCAUACAUUUUAGCAUGAGUCCACUGGAUGAGUCACCAUCAACUUAAAAAUGGUGGUGAACUAUCACCAUAUACUUUCCAUAAUUCAUAGCUUCAUCCCCCAUUUUUUGAAGAUUGUUUACCUGGAUGCAGACAAUAUUGGAGCUGAAAUGAAAUACCUGGCUGGCUAGCUUGAGACUGCUGCAGAACGUUUUCCAACUGCCCCUGUGCCAUCUGAACAUACCCAAUCACUCUCCCUUCCGUUCUAGGUAUGAUUGGUAGAUCCUUGGGCCCUGAAAAAAAAAGGUCCAACUUAGAAAGAUCCCUAUAAGCAGAAAUUUCUUUUCCCUUUGGAAAUCUGAAAAAGAAGAUUUCAUGAACAACAUUAAGCUUAGCAGAAGUCAAUGA